GAUGAACGCUGGCGGCGUGCCUAAUACAUGCAAGUCGAGCGAACAGACGAGGAGCUUGCUCCUCUGACGUUAGCGGCGGACGGGUGAGUAACAUGUGGAUAACCUACCUAUAAGACUGGGAUAACUUCGGGAAACCGGAGCUAAUACCGGAUAAUAUAUUGAACCGCAUGGUUCAAUAGUGAAAGACGGUUUUGCUGUCACUUAUAGAUGGAUCCGCGCCGCAUUAGCUAGUUGGUAAGGUAACGGCUUACCAAGGCAACGAUGCGUAGCCGACCUGAGAGGGUGAUCGGCCACACUGGAACUGAGACACGGUCCAGACUCCUACGGGAGGCAGCAGUAGGGAAUCUUCCGCAAUGGGCGAAAGCCUGACGGAGCAACGCCGCGUGAGUGAUGAAGGUCUUCGGAUCGUAAAACUCUGUUAUUAGGGAAGAACAAAUGUGUAAGUAACUAUGCAUGUCUUGACGGUACCUAAUCAGAAAGCCACGGCUAACUACGUG
rnacentral:rRNA from 1 species